GUGCUUGCUUCAGCAGCACAUAUGCUAAAAUUGGAAUAAUGAAGAGAAGAUGAGCAUGGCCCCUUGUGCAAGGAUGACAUGCAAAUUCGUGAAGCAUUCCAUAUUUUU